UAUUUAGCUUCGUAGUGACCUGCGGAGGAUCAUUACCGAGUGAGGGCCCUUUGGGUCCAACCUCCCACCCGUGUUUAUUUACCUCGUUGCUUCGGCGGGCCCGCCUUAACUGGCCGCCGGGGGGCUCACGCCCCCGGGCCCGCGCCCGCCGAAGACACCCCCGAACUCUGCCUGAAGAUUGUCGUCUGAGUGAAAAUAUAAAUUAUUUAAAACUUUCAACAACGGAUCUCUUGGUUCCGGCAUCGAUGAAGAACGCAGCGAAAUGCGAUACGUAAUGUGAAUUGCAAAUUCAGUGAAUCAUCGAGUCUUUGAACGCACAUUGCGCCCCCUGGUAUUCCGGGGGGCAUGCCUGUCCGAGCGUCAUUGCUGCCCUCAAGCCCGGCUUGUGUGUUGGGCCCCGUCCUCCGAUUCCGGGGGACGGGCCCGAAAGGCAGCGGCGGCACCGCGUCCGGUCCUCGAGCGUAUGGGGCUUUGUCACCCGCUCUGUAGGCCCGGCCGGCGCUUGCCGAUCAACCCAAAUUUUUAUCCAGGUUGACCUCGGAUCAGGUAGGGAUACCCGCUGAACUUAAGCAUAUCAAAGGCCGGGAGGAAA
rnacentral:rRNA from 1 species